CGUCAUUUUCUGUCUUUUCUGGAUUAGCUAGUGAGCGGAUAGUGUGGUGUGAAAAGAUUGAGUCUUAGGUAACACGUGUUCCACAACUAAAGCGGGUUACGGAGUGAGGCCUAUCCAGUUUUGUGAGAUUUAAAUUAAGUGCGUCUUCCGGGUCCCAUAGUCGUUGUGAGCCACACGUGCAGGGGCCUUAGGCUAGCAGCACGUGGCGAAGGGAUGAAGCAGCCAAAUGAGACCGGGCCUUGGAGCGCCAACAAGCGGAAGGACAUAACCCAACAAGGAGCAGAAAUGAGGUUCCGGACUCUAAGGGGAUACAUUGGGAAGGACCUCUCAAUCCCCUCAAGUGAACAAGGUGUCGUCUCCUAAUAAGUGCUAAAGAUGGUGUGAAAGGCUGUUGCCAGCUCUAGAUGAUCUGCUCAGACUUUCCCCUUGUUCUGGGGUUGUCUCGUGGUCAUAGGACAAUGGGAGGAGGCGUGUCCUGUUGCGAUCUGGCCAAUCAUGGCUACUUAUGAGGAGACUUGUGGUCCACCCCUGUCCAUGUUGGAAGCACACCCAACAUGAUACCUGGUGUUUCCAUGAACACAUUGUCAUUGGAUUGAGGAUCACAGCUUCUUGAAUGAUUCUUUUGGUGUGAAGGGGGUCUUCUGCACAUGCUCAGAUCUUGCUGUGACCCUAGCCCUUCCUGAAAGCUCUUGAUUCAUCUUAGUGAUUUCAACUCUGUAAAACCUGUACAUCUGUUAUGAGUCUUUGUUACAUGUGGUAUAAAAGUUGAAUAAAGAAUUCUCAGAAUUU